AGCGAGGAAAAUUGUGUUAGGGCCCGCGAAAAAAUGAUGGAUGUGCUGGGGGGACAGAGGAACAGAGACAGAAAUUAGCGUGGGCCUUAAAAAAAGCUUCAAAAGCAAUCAAAAUGACAACUUAAGUAGGCUUCCCGGCAGCAAGCGAGACCAGCGAGUG